rnacentral:lncRNA from 1 species
UUUAGUUUUGCUAAAAUUGGCGGGAAUCCUCGGAAACGUCUGUACACACUGGGCAACAAAGAUGGCGUCCGGGAAGGAGCGCGUACGCACAUGGCACGUUGGCAGGCACGGCAUCUGUGGCAUGGUUACAGCAGAUAUUCAAGAAAGUUAUUUUGUUUUACUGCUACGAGUGCUGAAUAGUGCGGUGAUCAUUAGUUCAUUGGGCCUGCCACUUCGUCGGAGCGUGAAGGAUGGAUAGCAAACGGUUAUCAACUCAAGGAAAGCUGCAGAGGAAAAACUGGACCAGGAGGAAACUACCGAACCAGAGGGCAACGCCUGAACAACAGGACGACGGCCAAGCAAGGGGAGGCCGAAUGAAUGAAUCUCUUAAUUACAAUAAAAAUGGCAAACAUCAUC